GUGGGGAAUAUUGGACAAUGGGCGAAAGCCUGAUCCAGCCAUGCCGCGUGUGUGAAGAAGGUCUUCGGAUUGUAAAGCACUUUAAGUUGGGAGGAAGGGCAGUAAGUUAAUACCUUGCUGUUUUGACGUUACCAACAGAAUAAGCACCGGCUAACUUCGUGCCAGCAGCCGCGGUAAUACGAAGGGUGCAAGCGUUAAUCGGAAUUACUUGGCGUAAAGCGCGCGUAGGUGGUUCAGCAAGUUGAAGGUGAAAUCCCCGGGCUCAACCUGGGAACUGCCUCCAAAACUACUGAGCUAGAGUACGGUAGAGGGUAGUGGAAUUUCCUGUGUAGCGGUGAAAUGCGUAGAUAUAGGAAGGAACACCAGUGGCGAAGGCGACUACCUGGACUGAUACUGACACUGAGGUGCGAAAGCGUGGGGAGCAAACAGGAUUAGAAACCCUGGUAGUCC
rnacentral:rRNA from 1 species